rnacentral:tRNA from 1 species
GUCGUGGUGGCUGAGUGGUAAAGCGCUUGGUUUUCGAGCCGGGAGGCCCGGGUUCGAAUCUUGGUGAAGACU